rnacentral:rRNA from 1 species
CAGUAGCCGCGGGAAUACGUAGGUGGCAAGCGUUGUCCGGAAUUAUUGGGCGUAAAGGGCUCGCAGGCGGUUUCUUAAGUCUGAUGUGAAAGCCCCCGGCUCAACCGGGGAGGGUCAUUGGAAACUGGGAAACUUGAGUGCAGAAGAGGAGAGUGGAAUUCCACGUGUAGCGGUGAAAUGCGUAGAGAUGUGGAGGAACACCAGUGGCGAAGGCGACUCUCUGGUCUGUAACUGACGCUGAGGAGCGAAAGCGUGGGGAGCAAACAGGAUUAGAGACCCCAGUAGUCCCUGUCUCUUAUAC